GGACGCGCUGGUGCGGGCCGACGGCGCCUGGCGGAGGUGCAGGUUUCGUGCUGAUAACCUGAACAAGCUGAAGAACCUCUGCAGCAAAACCAUUGGAGACAAGAUGAAGAAGAAAGAGCCUGUGGGGACGGAUGAGUCUGUACCAGAGAGCGCACAGAACCUCG